rnacentral:lncRNA from 1 species
AUUUUGCAUAUUAAAAAAAAUGUAAAUUAGAAUUACAUCAUUUUAUUAAUUCAUCUUGACAGUUGAUGUAACAAGAUAUCAUACAUCAUUGAAAAUAUAUCCCACUAUAUAAGCUAUUUAUUUCUUUCAGUUUGUUAUUGAACAUCUCAAACAAUGGCACCGAAAAAAAUACAGUAGUUCAUAAGGAUUAAAUGUCAUAUAGUCAAAGAAAUUGUUAUGAAAUUAUGCUCAUAUAUGUAAACUCAUCAUAUUAUAAACUGAAUUAGUCUAUGCCUUUGAUAAUCCAGGCAGUGAUUAAUUAUCUAGCUUUUUACAGCCAGUUAAUACACUGCUGUUCAAUGUGUACUGUUGUAUAAAUGAACACACAGAGAUAGCUGAUAACAUCUGGAGAUUCUGACCAAGAUAAAGACCAAUGGAAAUGCAGGCUUCUGAAGCCGUUUUACACAUGUAGCCCCAAGAAAUAAUCCCAAUACUUUUUUUAUUUUUUUUCUAUGAUCUUUGCAAAUUCUGUGAGCAAAUAAAUGGAAAAAUUCUCACGAACUGUAUAUAUAUAUUUUAAGAACAUUCCAGAUAUUCCCUUCAGUAACUAUACUGUGCCAAGGAAUAUUGCUCAUGAAUACAAAAAUUUGAAUGUAAACAGGAAGUGCUUUGUUCUAGAUGUUGGAGGCAAAAUGGAAUGGAGCUAAAUAAUUUUGUACCUUGAAAUUCUAAAAUGCUUUUAGAGAGAUAUCAGAUACAAGAGUGUACAUAUUUAGUUAUUAGAAGCAUUGUCUUCAACAUGUAUGAAUGAAAUGAUGUAAUCAGAGAUAUUUGAUGGCUUUAGUGACUAUGCAGCAUGCUACAGGAUGAAAUGAGAUCACAGACAGAGACCCCAUCAAACACUAAACUAAAUGGCUGGAAUGAGGUUCCUGACCCUGGUGAUGGUUUGAGCAAAGCUAAGAGACAUUCUGGUGCCACCUAUAUUGAGCCAACAUAACUCCAAAAAUGAUUUUGUUGUAUUCAUAACUUUCUAUUAAAUAAUUUUUAUAUU